GAGGCCAAGUUCCUCACAGAUCUUAAGUUUGAGUAACUGAUUGUGGUUCACUUGUGAUGAAAAUCAGAUUAGUUUUCCAUGUCAACUACUAUAGAAUAAGCAUUGGAAGCACUUCCAUUUUUGCAGUACAGCUUUGUGAUGAUAUUUCCCUUCUCCCUCCAAUGGGAUAGUUAUGGCAAGAUGGCCUCAUAGAUCUAAGGUCAAUAAAUUCUAAGUCUGAACUUUCAUUUGCAGGAAGCUAAAAAAGAAAACAAUUCUGCAGCAACUUAUUCUGCUGUCUACAGAAAGAAAGUGGUGUCCAAGGCAGUAUGUCUUAGACUCCCCUAUGCUUUCCUAUUUAGGAUGAUGUUACCAGGAUAAACAGACCUCAUCUACUGGAGUUAGGGUUAUUCUUAUCUAGAGAAGUUUACAGUACGUAGUUGUUUGUCUCCCAUUCUACACCUCUGUUAAGAUGUAAAAUAUCAGAUACUGAACUGGAAUCUAACUUGAAAGCCACUGGAAAUGGCUAGAUGUCAUCUUAGAAACGAAGAAUACUUCCAGCUAGCCCAACAUCCUAUUUUCAAAAGUCAUUUAAGUGCCUUUGAAAAUUUGACACUCAUGUUUUUCUUUUAGCUGUUAAUCAGCCCAGAUCAUUAUUCUUACAUGUGAAAAAUAUGUAUCUUUAUUCCAACACUCCAACAUCCAGUUGUUUCUACCUUUGCCCUGAGAUUCCUGAUAAUCUUUGCCAGUUGGCACCAGCAGAUAGGAGAUUAUAAAUAUUUUAUAUCUAUACUAAAAUUUCUCAACCCUUCUAUGUAUGCUACACGUUGAGCAAAGGGCAUUAAUUCUGUCUCUAGAGACCUAAUGCAUGUGAAUAGGGCAGGGCUGGUAUGAGAGACUGACUUCAAACUGUCGUACACUCCCCAACCCACAACUGGUCCCUUGUGUGCCUUUACCAGUAUUAUAUGUAACAAAAAUUGCACUUUGCCAUGACGGGUUACCUCUGUGCAGAAGAGGCUCAGCUAUAAUAUAGCAAUAUUGUGCUGCAUUGAAACAGCUAUUUUGGAGAGCCUACGCAGUAGCUAUCUACAUCCUGAAUUCCAGAAAAGCAUGUUAGGCACAUACCUAAUUUUAUGCAUCUGAGCAGAUGCUUUUCUGAAUAGGGUCUCUCAGAGUCUGUAGUCUUACUACAGUGUUCCUUUUUGAGUAGGAGAUUUCAUACAAAAUUAAAAGGGAUUUCCCAGGGAAGCUAAAAUAAUGGCAAUAGUUUUGCUCGGGCCACAGCCUGCACUUUUAUUUUGAAAACCUGCUCUGGAGACAUGCAUAAAUUAAUGAAUCUAGUAUGGGCAUCUCCCAUGUAUUAUUUUUAAUAUUUACCCCUUAAUGCCCAAGUAGUUUAGAAGGAAGUGUCUAUGUGACGGUAAAGGAAGGGCCGGACUUUUUCAGUACUCACUUCCCAAAGGUUUCUUCCUUUUCAGUUUGUAUUGUGUGCUGUCGGAGAGAGGACACAGAAUGAGGCAGUAUGUGCUUGUGUUGAUGGCAUGGUGUAAGAUCCUAAAUAGGAAAGAAAUUUUAUUAUAAAUAACUGUGUAACUUACCAUAAAUAUAACUAAGCAAUCAGAAGGUAAAAUCCAACUUUUUUAUAAAUGCUUUACAUAAGUAAAAUGAUCUUUUUUCAAUUCCAGUCUAAAAGCCUUCAAUACUCUCUCUUUAUGUUUUCCAGAGUGUUUGUGAUAACUCAUCUUCAUUGUCUGUCUGUCUGCCGUGGAUAAACUCUGAUAAAGUCCUGCAUGUGCCAAAGGCAAACUGUCUGAAUCCUGAGGUUUCUUAGAAAAUUCAAAAUAUAUUCAGCAUUGAGAAAUAUGUCCAAACAUGUUCUGUGGUUCUACAAAGCCACAUCAGGCAGCCCCAAACUGGACAAAUUAUGUGUAACAAAAGGGAACAGCUGCAAUGAAGGGACUGAGACAAUCUCUCCUUAAACAUAACUGAUUAUGCUACUCUCAGAGCAUCAGAAGCAGAAGUACCCUUUGUCCAUACAGACUAAUGGACAAGUGUGAUAAAUCAUCCUCAGGUUCAUAAAAACAGGCUGGUGGGAGGUGCCUAAAGGUUUGUAUAUAUAAGAAUAAAAGCAGAAUUUUUCCAGAUGAUUUGAAGUUUAGCUGUCUUGAUCUGCACCAAAGAUUGCAAUGUGCAAGAUCAUUUAUUAGAUUAACGUUGGUAUGUUAAGGAUACUUACAUGGAACCAAUAAUGGUUACUUUAUCAGUGUGUCAGUAUUCUGCUCUAACUUCAUUUUAAAGUCAAGCUUCUAUUAUUUUGAUAACCGUGGCUCUGACCAAUACGACUCUUGUUAAUUUGUGUCUGACCUUGGACCAACAUCGACGUUUCCUUCCUCUUCAUAUCUCCUGUGGAUCUGAAUGUCUUAAUUACAUUAGCCUUUUAUUAAACAAAUGUUGAUCUUUACAAGAUGUUGACAAGGCAUAUGCGCUGCAUUGUAUGAAAGAAAAUUCCACUUGUAUGUGGAGACUAGACACAUAGCUUAGGUCUAUGGACUCCACACUAGGGACCACGUGUCUAAAUCUUAGGCACUGCAACACCCAAAUCCUUUUGUGCCUCAAGUCCUAAGGUACCAUUCAGUCUGAAUAAGGAUGGUAAAAUCUGGAUGGACAGCAGAAUUUCAUAGAUUUUAAGAUGAGAAGGAACCAUUAUGAUAACUUACGUUGAUCUAAUCUUCCUUUCACUCGCACUGUUUCCUUAUAGUUUACCCAUAACCAAUUAUACAUAAUUGUUCACACUUCCACACAGAUAUAGGGCUACCCUUUUAUCAUAAAGGUGUGGUUGUGACAAUACUGUUUUCAUGUAUACAUCACCAUCAUACCGAAGGGUCUUGAUACGUUUCACAUUCUUUAUAACAUCACAUACAAUAUAGUCAAUUUUUGAAUCACUGGAAACAUGUAUUAAAAUAAAGCUGUAUCUGUGGUAGAAAUCGGCUACUUAAUGGUACUCAGUAUUACUCAGUGUUAUUUCUAGCAGGAAAAAAAGAACACCACAAUUCCCAAACUAUGGGUUGUGACCCCAUUUGGGUAGGAGUAGGGUCAGGGGACCCAUAGAAAUUCAGUCACUGCUGAAGGGCAUAGAGCAGAAGUGGAGAUGUAGUGCAAAAAGGACUGGGAAGUGCUUCUGUAUUUAAAAAUUAAGUGGGACUUUUUGGAAUGAAGCUAAAUGUGGCUACAAAGCAAGGAUUACAUCUUUGCUCUCUGAUAUUGCCAUGUGAGAACAAUGACUCAAAAAGGUCAAAUCCUUUCAUAUCUCAUCUGAAAGUUAGCAUUUCCAGUCACAAGACUGCACCCCUUAAAAGCAUAAUGGGGUAUUGGCUCAUUACCCAAUAAAAGGAAAGACAGCUCAACAUCAUUUCAGGUAGUGUAGACAUGCUCCUCAGGGGUCUUCCAUUCAAUUACUGAGCAGUUCCCAUGCUGCUUUGCUUGUGAGAUUAUAAUAAAAGGCCACAUGGCAGGAGGCCAACUAUGCAAGGAGGAAGCCUCUUUGUAUUUUAAUACUUAAAAAAAUAAAUAAUAAAUAGAUUAUUAAAAAUAGAAAAUGUAACAAACACGCAAAGCUUAUUAAUGGCUAAAAUGGAAGAGAAUGUUUUCCUUACCUUUUCUUUUGGAUUUGUUACUUCUUUUGCAAAAUACUUUUCCUACCAGUAUAUUAAAAAACAAUCCUUAAACAUUAAUUAGUUAAGAAAGCAAUAGAAGAGAAAAAACAAAACAAACAAACAAAUAAACAAAAAAGAAACCAGAGUUUAGCCAACCUUUUUAAUUAGAGUAUAUUGUACUUCCAAACUGGAUACACUAGAAAUUGGCAAUGCAACAUAAGAUGCAAAGGAAUAUACCAGUUACUGUCAAAAUGACCCUGUACAGCCUUAUAAUGCAAAAAGCUUUAUACAAUACAAAUGUUAUUAAUGUACACAAACCUUGACAGAGUGAUAUUUGAACAUAAUACAACACGUAAAAAAAUAAAGAGAAAGAAAGAAA